UACGAGGGGGCGAGCGUUGUUCGGAAUUAUUGGGCGUAAAGGGUGCGUAGGCGGUUUGGUAAGUCUCUUGUGAAAUCUAUGGGCUCAACUCAUAGUCUGCAAGGGAAACUGCCGGGCUUGAGUGUGGGAGAGGUGAGUGGAAUUUCCGGUGUAGCGGUGAAAUGCGUAGAUAUCGGAAGGAACACCUGUGGCGAAAAGCGGCUCACUGGACCACAACUGACGCUGAUGCACGAAAGCUAGGGGAGCAAACAGG
rnacentral:rRNA from 1 species